UACGGAGGGUGCAAGCGUUAUCCGGAUUCACUGGGUUUAAAGGGUGCGUAGGCGGGUAAGUAAGUCCGGGGUGAAAUCUCUGAGCUUAACUCAGAAACUGCCUUUGAUACUAUCUGUCUUGAAUAUGGUGGAGGUAAGCGGAAUAUGUCAUGUAGCGGUGAAAUGCUUAGAUAUGACAUAGAACACCUAUUGCGAAGGCAGCUUACUACGCCUAUAUUGACGCUGAGGCGCGAAAGCGUGGGGAUCAAACAGG
rnacentral:rRNA from 1 species